rnacentral:piRNA from 1 species
UCACAGAAACUAAGUUUUGCCUUUUAAAAA